UCAGCUACAUCACAAACCAUUCAUCAACAAGUGGAUCUUGCUGAGUCAGUUGUCAUGGAGCUGACUCAGGUGUGAUGUGGCUCAAGUGUGGAAGCUCAGUUUAGAGUCUUAUUCACAACAACUGAACAAACUCAAUUCAUUGGAGAAGACCAUGCGAUGUGAUUGAACACUGCAGAAAAGUUGUGUGGGUUCCCACUGAUUGAUGGAGUGGACAACAUCACUAUGUCUCACAGACUGACCAAGGAAGAGCUGGAUGAACAGUUUGAGCUGUUCUUAAAAGAGUCUGUUUCAGAUGACUCGGUGGAUUUGGGCGGCUCUGAGAAGCAGCCCUGUGCUAAAAGUGAUGAGAAAUCAGCCCUGAAACCAGCAGUGUCAUGGUGGCAAGAUGAUGAACACAGUGAUGGAGGAACAGGGAGAGGACUGCUGGGUUCGGGGAAGUCCUUCAGAAAGUCUUUGAGGAAGUCUCACCCUAUUCGCUAGGAGGAUGAGGAUCCAGGAGACGCUGGUUUGAAGGAAAAAGGGCUAGAAGCAGUUGUUCUCAGCAGCGUCAACACAGAGACGGAGGAAUCAGUGAUGGUACCAGCAGUGAACAUGACCAGCAUGGGCUUGGAAACUCUGGAUGAAGAAGAAGAGAAAGCAAGUUUUUUUGCACGACUAGAAGCAGGAGCCUCAUCAACUAUAGAUUACUCCAAACUG